GGUCGAACUAAACGUAGGCGUACCUAC
rnacentral:piRNA from 1 species